GCAAUCCGAUUGGGGUGCCCCCCGGCCAUGCCGGCGGGCUGAGAUCAUACCCAUAGAACCUGACGCGGCUCGUACCGCCGGAGGAAAUUCGGACCCUGCGGGCU
rnacentral:ncRNA from 2 species